UUUAAGCCCAGAGAAGAGUA
rnacentral:tRNA from 4 species